rnacentral:snoRNA from 1 species
AUCCUUUUGUAGUUCUUAAGCGUGAUGAUUGGGUUUUUACGCAUGUGUGUGAGAUGUGCCACCCUCAAACCUUGUUACAGAUCGGCACAUUACCCUUCUGACG